rnacentral:piRNA from 1 species
UGGUAUGACAUGACCAUUGUUCAGGAGG